UUUACAGAUGCAAAAAUCGGCUUUAUAUAGCCGAAUGAAAAUACAAAAAUUAUUUAUUUUUUCUUUUAUAUUUUCUCUACUAUUUGCUGUCACUGUUUGUUGUGAUUUGCGUUCGUUGCAGGUUCGACCAGCCUAGAGUAGAGGUGCUCAUGGGCCGGACGGUUCGACCCGGCCCGACGGCCCGCCCGAAAAAUGGGAGGGUUCGGGUAAAAAUAUAGGCCCGAAAUAUGGGUUUGGGUAAGAAAUGAGGCCCGUUUUAAAAACGGGCCGGGCCUCGGGUAAAAUUUUUUUGGCCGCCCGAAUUUAAUUAAUAUAUCUUUUUAUUUUUAAAAUUGAUUAUUAGUUAUUAGUAAUAACUUAUUAGUGUCAGUUUUCAUUAAUACAUUUCCCAUUUCCUUUCCCUUCCCUUCCCCAUUUCCCCGACCCCAGAUAAAUCCCUAACCCCUUCCCUUCCUUUUUUUUCCCCCAAAUUGGAAAUCCACCUCCACCUCCACCUCCACCGAUCCACGACUCCACGACCACGACUCCACGACUCCACGACUCAACGGUGCUUCUAGCCUUCUUCGUCUUCUCAAAGGUGAGUUUGUUGUUAACCUUUGAAUUAGUUUUUUGCUUUGUGCUUUUCGAUUUUUAUUUUUAUUCGAAUCAGUUCCCUCAUUCUCUUUCAAUUACAGAGGAAUAGGAAGGUCUAACAGACUAACACAAACAGUAGAUGUAUAAUUUCAUUUGAUGUAUAAUUUCUUUUGGUUGGAUUAUUUUUCAUUUGAUGUAUAAUUUCAGAUAUUUGUUGAAAGCCCAGAUGCUAAAACUUCAAUUUCGAUUUUUUUAUUAUUGUUAUUUUUUGGUUUUGGAUUUAUAGGUACUUUCAAUUCUGGGAUUAUUUUACUUUCUGAAUCACUGAAUUGAUUUUAGCUCCUAAAAAGCAUAUAUUUUUAAGAACCGGGAUAGUGCUUGAUUUUGACUUUGAUCCUUUACUUGAAGAUUCAUUUUAGAUCUUUAUUUAGUUGGAAUACUGCUGAGAGAUUGAGUUACUUAAAUCUCCCUUGCAAACCCUUUUUUCUCUUCUAUUUGACGCAUAAGUUUUGCUUUAUUUGGAUGUGAAAUCUAUUUGAAGAUCUAACUAAAACUCAUGUUUUUGAGUAUUUUUUUGUUUUUUUGUUUGUUUUGUCACAGAACUUUUUUCACUACUGGGAAAGAAUACUUGGGCAAUGAUUUCAAUUCCAUGUCAACUUUAUUUUUUCACUACUGGGAAAGAAUACUCGGAAACACCUUCACAGUUCACACCCUAGCAUUUAACUCUAAUGAUUUGCCUCCUUAUCGUGAUAUUACCCCUUAACAACAGUAUACGUGCAUUCAUUCACUGGAGCCUUGAUCAUCAAUUUGUUUCUGUACUUUUCAAUGCUUGAUUAAUUAAUUCUGCACUUUUCAAUGCUUGAUUUUGUUGUGAUUAUUAUGAUUAACAACAAACAUAUGGCUAAAACUUUGUACUAACAUUUAAACAGUGGCAUUCAAAUUUUUUUAGAUUUAUUCUGAUUGGUUAUCAUAUUCUUUCUUGAUAUGCUAUGCUAGAUUUGGACAUUCAUUUGAUACAUUCUAGUUGAUCUCAUUUUCAUCUAGUAACUUUGAUCUUUGGAUUAAAACUUUUAAAAAAGAAAAAAAGUUGAGCUUUACCAUUUUAAGUAUAGAGUACAGAUUACAGAAUAAGAACUGAGACUGACUCCAUAUUUUAAAAUUUAUGUAAUAAGUAAUUUUUGACUACUUUUGUCUUAUUAAAUUGAGUAUGGAACUAUGGAUCAAAGAUCCAUGAGAGUAAUAGUAUGGAUCAAUUUUGAUAUUGUUCUCCUUUAAAAACAUAAAAAUGUAAUGAAAUGAUAAACUUUAAAAUGUUAUAUACAAAAAAAAAUGCAAUUUGAUAUUUGAUAUAAAUUCAAUAACAACCUUUUAAGUCAAAAAAAAAAAUGGGCCGGGCCUGGCCCAGGCUUCAUAUGUUUUUCACGGGCCGGGCCUGGGCAAAAUCUCAGGCCCGUAUUUCGGGCCGG
rnacentral:lncRNA from 1 species